CAAUACAAGAGGAUAUGGGCAAAAGCGAGGCCUGUUGAAACCCAUCAGAAAGAUUGACUGGCACCCUGGGUAAGGAUGACGGACCCCAGGAUCCACAUUUUCCAACAUGGAUGUUGGAGCACACAAUGUUGUGGAGAACCACAGUGUUUUGGAUCAACUUUUGUUAUGGAAAUAUUUCCAAACUGUUGUCAUUUCUGCAUUGGUCACAACAUUGGCCAGGAAACAGGGGAAGAAGAACCAACUUUUUAUGAAGUUUUUGCCAACUCCACUCCAGGGCAAUGGCAAUUCUUCCCAUUUCAGGAGGAACACCCUUUUCCAGAUGACUCCUAAUAUUCUUCUUUCUUCAACUCAGAGCUGUGCAGAUGCACACAUCCUAGGAGUCUCCUAAGACAUGCAAAGCCCUGCCAUCAUUCUGUGGAACCACCACUGCCAGAGAAGCCUACUGUAGUGCAAAGCCGACAUGCAGGACUCAGGAAGCGCCCUGCUUUCACGUGUGGUGUGAAUUUCAAAGCUCGUCUCUUGUGGUGUUAUUUUUUCCUACUGACGGUAGUGGAGGGGAAGAGGAGCAAGUACCAUGUGAUCUUUGGUUCUUGAAUCCUUGGCAGGAAUUUUGAGACCACAACGCUUCUCUCCUUUGAAAUGCUUUCACUCGGAGAAGUUGUACGAUGCGGUGGAAUUUCUUUCUUCUUUAUAUCUGUGUUGGCUAAAGCAAGACAGAGGAGCUUGAAAAGGCUCGCCCUCCUCAAGGAACACUAUCUGAUUCGUAAGCAUUCCUAGAGGUUAAGGCUGGUGACUAUCAAGAAAGCAAAUACUUCACGCAAGGGUAAGUCCUCUAAUUGUGUUUGUGUUGAAUAGCCGCCAGAUCCCCAUGUCAGGAUGUCUGCAGUCACGGCUCUGAUCUCACCAUUCCUUCCUCGGCUGUUGCACAAUUGUGUUGCAUGUUUGUGGUAGGGGAGAAAGUUGGAGAGCUGGGCUAUGAAACCGUCUUAGGGAAGGAAGCCAUGUUUUAUUUUAGUUGCUUGGUUUGGACAAAAGCCUGUAGGAGAUUGAAUAACAUAAAAAAACCCAUAAUGUGGCCAAUUCAUGGAAACCAAACCUGGUCUUCUAUACAGAUAUGCGAAAUAUGAGGUUUAACAGCCAGGGUGG
rnacentral:lncRNA from 1 species